CAAGAGGUGCUCCUGGCUUGUUGUAGGCAUUGUAAGGGCUGGCUAGAUCAGUCUGGUAGCAGGGAUCGGGCUAGCGAAGGAUGCUCCUGGCUGGUUGCAGGAGCUGAGAGGGCUGGAUAGAUCGGUCUGCAAGCAGGGUCUGGGGGAGCAAGGGGUGCUCCUGGCUGGCUGCAAGGGCUAAAACAGGGUACUGAGAGAGGCCCUGUUGCUCAGACAGAGGACCGGAGUCCAGGGAGGGCUACAGAGAUGUUGCCAAUGGAGGGGUACUGUGAGGGAUCCUGUCGGACCGUGAAGGGACUGAGCCCGCGGAGUGCUACAGGACAUUACUGAGGGAUUUGAGAUAGACCUGGUUGGACAACGUAUCCCAGAAAGGGUUUGUUUGCACAUGGACUGUGGGUGACUUGGCUGAGGGCUGAAUCACCAAACACCUGUCUGACAAGCACAGUGGCCAACAGGGGGCACCGUGAGCUGAGAAAUUCAGAAAACUGCAGGCUUGCACACCCUCCACCGGGGGCGCUCACAAGAGGCUAAAGAUCAUGGAACCCUUGUGACCACUUUGUCACAGUUCCCGUGCGGUCAUGCUGAGUUGGAAACAGCCAUGCCGCCCUGGCUCAGAGGCUGAGCUGAAUGCUAGAGGAUGAGAAGGCAGUGAGGGAAGGCACCAGGUUUGCUCACAGAGGGUAACUGGGGUCAUUCCUGUGCACUGUUCACACCUUCAGGGAAGCGUGGUGUAGUGGUUACAGCAGUGGCCUGGGAAUCAGGACCCCGGGGUUUUAUCACAACCUCCACCUCGUCCAAUCCUGCUCACGUUUCAGAUUCCCUUGCGUGGUGAGUCCUCACUUCAACAAGGGGAAAGUCAUGGAGAACCUUCUCUCUGAGCCAAGUUGAAGAGCGGGGGAGAGAUCUCCUUUUGCAUUGAACAUGGGGGGACGGGGAGUGUGCUUCUCAUUGCUAUAACUUCUACCUGUGCCCCCUGCCACAUUGUGAUUCACCCUGGUGCUGGGACAUAAGGGGGAGGAGGGAAGUCUCCCUUGCACACCAUGUUUGACUGCUCUUUGAGUUAGAUCCUCCCCC